GUGCCCACUAGAGUUCCCUUGAGCACUUCAUUAAGAAAUUUCUAUAGUUUCAAACUUUUGUUAAGUUCUACUGAAGUGUUUGGGGGAACUCUGGGUGACAU
rnacentral:pre_miRNA from 2 species